GGCGGGGCCGGGGCGAGGGGCGUUGCUGCGCGUGCUCGCUCCGAGGCCGCAGUUUGCGCCUGAGGCAGUUGGCUGCGAUCCUGAAACCGGCUGUGGGAGCUGCUUCUGCGCGGUCGGCCCCGGCUGAGGCGUCCCGGGCUGCGUGCGGGGCUCGGCGCUGCGCAAUGUCCGGGGCCCUCUCGGUCCGGAGCUUCUCCAGAGGAGGAGCGGCUCGUGCGCCCCCAGACCUCCGGUGCUGGGAGACUUGGGCCCUCCUUUAAGAGACCCGGUGAACGAGCAAAUCGCAGGGAAAACCGUGCAGCCCCGUGGACUGCGGGCUUUUCCUUCACGACUAGCAAAGGCUUUGACACCCUUUCUCCCGCGUACGUGUGUCUGUGUGCGUGUAAGCUGUGGCUGGGUGCGGGGGGCUGUGUACGUGUCUGUGUGUGGCGUGUGUGGAGUGGUUGAGGUAGGUGUGUGUGUUUGAGGUGUUGUGUGGUGUUUGAGGGGUGUGUGUGUGUUUUUUGUAGUGUUUGAGGGAUAUGUGUGUGUGGUGUUUGAGGGGUGUGUGGUGGUUGAGGUGUGUGGUGUUUGAGGUGUGUGUGGGGUGUGUGUUUGAGGCUUGUGUGUGGCGUUUGAGGGGUGUGUGGUGUUUGAGGGGUGUGUGGUGUUUGAGGGGUGUGUGGUGUAUGUGUGUUUGCGGUGGUUGAGGGGUGUGUGUGUGUCUAGUGUUUAAGGUAGGGUGUGUCUGUUGUGUGUGUGGUGGAGGCAUGGUGUGGUGUGGAAUGUGUGUCUGGGUCCAGUCUGGCCUGUCGCAGGGUUAUGCUCCUGGGAAAAACUCAUCUGAGGACAACGUGAUUGGAUCCUGGCUCCCUCGUUGGGCAGCCUUGGACUUAACCUUUUUGAUCGUGAAGGAAAACAAAAUAUGUCACCUCCAAAUAUAUUUCCUUGACAUGGUUCAAGACAGUUACUCAGAAGGACUGGAAAUAGAAGAAUAGCUGAAAAGCUGUCUUUUGUGGGGGACAUUUGCAUCUGUGGAGAGAAUCUACACUGAUGUGGCCAGGCCUUCUCUGAGGCCCUCCCUUGCCUGGUCUGGGAAGAGUAACAGAGUCUGACGCCUUCAAAGGUCUGAAGGGAACAUUCACCAUCUGUUCUCUCUCAGGGCUGCUACCUGUGCGGUUUCAUCUAUAGAACAAGGCCACCUUUGCUAGCCAGGCCUCCUCUGCUCUCUCUCACGUAACCGGUCUUGUCUCUGUCACCUGAUUUUCCACCGUAAACUGUUUGUGGCCAUGCUUUGAGCCCCUGUUCUUUCUGUAACCUCAAGAUGGUAUAUAAGCUUCUGAACCCCAUUGGGAGGUUGGGGUCAUCACUCUGGUUCUCCCUGUGUGCAUGAAUAAAUCUGUAUGCCUUUUCUCUUACUAACCUGGCUUUUGUGGGUUGAUUUUCUGAGAACUCAGAGCGCAGAAGGUUUUUCUCUAGGCUCCUACAGUUUUGGUGCAGUCAGUAGGAUAACUAAAGUCACUCUCCUGGGAGCCUGCAUCAGGGGAACCCAGGAGCCGACAAGCUGGCAGAAAGAAGGGUAAGAAGGUCUUAGCAGCCAGCCUCCCGGCCUCUCUGUGGAAUCUUGUCAAGCUGACGGUAAAAAUCACUGUUUACCUUGUUUUCCUCUUCAAAGUCUUAAUGAGAGAAAUGUAUUUAUGUGAUUAGUUUUGUAUUCAUAUUGUUUGAUUGCUUUUUUCCCCAGAAAUAGUCAUCUUUCAUUCUUGUCCUUCUGUGUUUUUCUAUCAUAAAGAGGGGUAUCAUGGGGUAGAACACAGGCCUAAAACCCCUGUAAGCCCCGUGUUGGGGCCACCCUGCAGGCUAGUCAGUUCUGCAGCUCUGAUCAGAUGCGUCUAGUUAGACAAACUUUGCUGUGGGUCCCUGAAAUGAAAACUGGAUGAGAGUCUUCUCUUUUCUGAUGUCCUUGAAAGCUUGAGUUGUGAGCAAGUGGGAAUGAUGCAGGGCAGGCAGACCCCAAAGUGGAGCUUAGCCAGUGACGGUUUUGGCUUUGCCCAGGAAAGAAUUCAAAGACAAGCCAGAGGUAGAACAAAACAGCUUUAUUGAACAGGUGGCGUUACAGCUCUGUGACUGCUUCUGCAGAGCAGGGCCACCCCGUAGGCUGAGUGUAGCAGCUCAGGGCAGUUUUGCAGUCACAUUUAUACACACUUUUGAUUGCAUGCAGAUUAAAGGAUGGUUUAUGCAGAAGUUUCUAGGGAAGGAGUAGUCAUCACUGGGUCAUUGCCAUGGAAAGGGGUGGCAACUCCUGGGUGUUGCCAUGGCAAUGGUAAACUGACAUGGCACAGUGGCGGGCAUAUCUGACUGAAAGCUGCUAUUGCCCCAACCCUGUUUUAGCCAAUCCUCAACCUGGUCAACUGUCUAAGUCCCACCUCCUACCUCAGGAGCACUCUCUUGGCCUCUGCCAAUCAGAGGUAGUGACUCGCAGGUCACAUUUUGUGGUCAGUUUGAAAAUGGUUGGGAACCCAAGACAUGUAAGAUUUUAAGCAGCACUGUUUUUGUUCUGAAUGUGUCAAGCUUUCAGUUUGUCUUAAGAAGUCCCUGCCAGGCGAGGUGUCAGAGCCCCGGCACUGGGGAGUGGUGGUCAACUUGCGGGUUGGUAAAAAGAAUUUACCAACAAUAGGUUUGGAAAACGAAAGUUUGGCCGGGCUUAGUGGCUCAUGCUUGUACACUCAGCACUUUGGAAGUCCAAGGUGGGUGGAUCACCUGAGGUCAGGAGUUCGAGACCAGCCUGGCCAACAUGGAGAAACCCUGUCUCUACGGAAAGUAUAAAACUUAGCCAGGUGUGGUGGUGCGUGCCUGUAAUCCCAGCUACUUGGAAGGCUGAGGCAGGAGAAUUGCUUGAACCCGGGAGGUGGAGGUUGCAAUGAGCCAAGACAGAGCUCUGUCUCUAAAAAGAGAAAAAAGAAAUUUUGCCAGGCACGGUGGCUCACACCUGUAAUCCCAGCACUUUGGGAUGCUGAGGCAGGUGGAUCACCUGAGGUCAGGAGUUCAAGACCAGCCUGGCCAACAUGACGAAACCCCAUCUCUACUAAAAAUACAAAAAAUUAGCCGGGCAUGGUGGCGGGAGCCUAUAUUCCCAGCUACUUGGGAGGCUGAGGCAGGAGAAUCGCUUGAACCUGGGAGACGGAGGUUGUGGUGAGCUGAGAUCAUACCAUUGCACUCCAGCCUAGGCAACAAGAGUGAAACUCCAUCUCAAAAAAAAAAAAAAAAAAAGAAAAGAAAAGAAAGAAAGUUUAUUAGAAUGCUGCGGAAGAGUGCAAUGGGGUGCCUCAGCAAGAGGACUGAGUACGCCGGGUGGAUUUCUCCUUAAGGGCAUUUAUAGGCCUUAAAGUGGGGGCUUAACAGUAAUUUGGACCAUAUUAGCCAUGUAGGUCAUGAUAAAUGAUUACAUUUAUAGUAAUUUUGGUGCCUUAAUGUCAGCAAGGGUUGUACAGUGAGUUUCGGCAUGGCAUUCUGGAGACAUAUAGAAAUUCUAGUUACUUAUAAAAUUUUUGGGGGAAGAAAUCUGGAACCAGAUGCCUGCUUUAGAUAAUAGGGAAGUUUAGUUACUUCUAAUUUUCCCCAGAUAAGGAAUUUUGCCUCGGAGGGCCUGUUUGAUGUUUGACAGUCGCGAGGUGGUCUUUGCUCCCUUCUCAAUUCCUCAGAUAAGGAGCUUUUGUCUCUGGGGCCUGUUCGAUGGUCACCAGGUGGUUUUUGCUCUCCUCAGGCCCAUCCAUAAGGGGCUUUUGUCAUCCCAAUCCUUGUUGCCUGGUCAGUCCUCAGAAAGCCCAAUCCCAACAGGCCUACCCUGUGUUACAGGUUAAUGGGUCUGUGACUGGCAGCCCCUGACGGAUUUGUGUGUUACUGGAGGCACUGUAUGUACAAACACCAUCCUUAACUGUCUCUGGCAACAAGAGUCUUUUGCUGUCUUUGCCUAUUCCUGGGAGUGAAUUUUGGGGGCAUCAUUGGAACCUCCUCUUCUAUGCCCUCUCUAAACCUGGAAAAUAAUCUUUUGGGCUUCCCAUGAAGGGGCUUAUUGGAUUGAGUUGCUGUUGGAAUAAAUACAUCAUUGGAAAUUCUGAUUGUCAAUAGCCAAAAGGUGAAUACUUUACAUUAGAAAGAUCCCUAAAAAAAAAAAAAAAGAUUUUAGAGGUCUCUCAUUCUAAACAAUUGCCUUAUUUGUAUUUGUGGAGAGAUUAAAGGAAAGACACAUAAUAAUGUUGUGGCUAGCCUUAGAAAUCCCCUUCACAAAAUUAAAGAGCAAAAAUCUGACCUGUAACAAGUUAAAAUCCUUUGUGCGCUCAAACCAUUGCUUUGGAUCCCUGCAGGAUUCACAAUGAAAACUGCUGCAUCUUGGAAACUACUUAAAAUUCUGUACUUUCACUGCCAUGGCCUGGGUUCAGUUCCCAAUAGAGGAACCAGUCCCUUUUGGUUUGAUAUUUGUGUGACUUUUGAAUUCUUUCUUUUUUUUUUUUUCAAGACGGAGUCUUGCUGUGUCGCCCAGGCUGGAGUGCAGUGGCAUGAUCUUGGCUCACUGCAACCUUUGCCUCCUGGGUUUAAGCAAUUUUCCUGCCUCAGCCUCUGGAGUAGCUAGGAUUACAGGUGUGAGCCACCAUGCCUGGCUGAUUUUUUUUUUUUAGUAGAGAUGGGGUUUCACCAUGUUGGCCAGGCUGGUCUCGAACUCCUGACCUCGUGAUCCUCCCGCCUUGGCCUCCCAAAGUGCUGGGAUUACAGGUGUGAGCCACCAUGCCCAGCUGAUUUUCUUUUCUUUUUUUUUUUUGUAUUUUUAGUAGAGGUGGGGUUUCACCAUGUUGGCCAGGCUGGUCUCGAACUCUUGACCUUGUGAUCCGGCUGCCUCAGCCUCCCAAAGUGCUGGGAUUACCAGAGCCAUGCACCCGGCCAACUUUUGACUUUGUGGAGAACUCACUUGUUGUUGACCUUCCCCCUCCACAGGCAGCUUUUGAUUCCCUUUCUUUGAGCUGUCUUUGGGGUGUCUCUGGAUGUUGUCAGGACUGCUUUGCACCUCUUUGGAGAUGGCUUGUGUGUCCUUGGUUAAGUCCAUAGCUUUGGUUAAGGCUUAUUGGUUUUGGCGAGUCACUUGGGAGGUACCUUUGGUUUAAAAAAAAAAAAAAAAAAAAAGGGCUCAAAGCCAUGGCUGUCAGCUGUUUGUCUCAGCUAAAAUCUGAUAAUAACAUAUUUGAAAGGAUUUUAAAAAAGAGCUCUGUGGUCAGAAGUUGGCUUAAUUAAAAACAGGUGAGCUGAUCUUCAAGCCAUGUAUCUAUAGGCUUUUCUGCUUUUGGACCCUGUUUCUGGGAAUUUUUUUUCAGUUGACUGAAACUCCUUUAAAUUGUAUGUUUGGUCUUUCUGUUUGGUUCCUUUGUUGGUAUAAUUUUGAUGAGAAAAAUGUAAAAUUGUAUUGGCCUUUUAGAACCUUAAAAUCUUUCCAAAUUGGCCCCUCUAAGGAUUGCAGUCCCAUUCACUUCUACCCCUCCGUACUCCUCCAUCCCCUUUGCCGUCUUUGGUACCUAAUGAAGGGAUCUACAAGGGACUUCUGAUGACUUAGAGACCCCUUGGGGAAUGCAAAGAAAGGUGCCCCGCACCCCCCUUUUGUCUUCCUUAUGGGGCCUGAGGAGUCGUGGGUAGCUUCCUCUCGGGUCUAAAGCUCGGCUGUCUUUGGCACUGUGUCACUGGAUCUCUUUGGCUUUGGGGAUACCAGGGAUUACGUGGCACUGUGAGACAGUGCGUGACCUGAGUGUGUGUGAUGGCCGGCAAGUCACUGGCGAGGGCUGCCUCACAGUGUUGGAGGUGGCUGAAAGCAGUUGUAGUGAAUGGUUGUUCCUGCAGUGGCUGCUUGUUUGUCUACAUGUUUAGAUGACAAAGGCACAGUCUGAACACUUGGAGGCUAUGGAAGCACUUGGCGUCAAGGGCUGAGACUCCGUGGGCUGAUUGCUGUGGGCAGUCACAGGGAAUGUCUUCAUAGUGAGGUACACUGUGGAAACAUUGUAUGGCUUUGUCUCAGAUCUCAUUUUAGAGGGAACUCAGCAUUCAGUGUAAAUGUGGGAUCCUUGAUUUUAGAAGGUCUAGAUGCUCUGCUUUCCAGCUGCACCUGCUUUUCACAUAUUUAAAUAUUAGGUCCUCCAAACUGCAAAUGAUUUUUUGGCCAUGUUCAUUAAUGAGCUCUGUCCUGAGCCCAGUGGUCUAGUUCAAGAGAUCGAGACCAUCCUGGCCAACAUGGUGAAACCCCAUCUCUACUAAAAAUACAAAAAUUAGCCGGGCAUGGUGGCGUGCACCUAUAGUCCUAGCUACUCAGGAGGCUGAGGCAGAGGAAUCGCUUGAACCUGGGAGGUGGAGGUUGCAAUGAGCCGAGACUGCACUACUGCACUCCAGCGUGGGUGACAGAGUGAGACUCCAUCUCAAAAAAAAAAAAAAAAAAAUUGAUGUUAAAAUUAGAAUAUCUUCAAAGUCAUCAAUCUUAAAUAUAAUUGAGACAUCUUUGCCUGGGCCAAUUGGUCAGACAGGUUUAUACAGUCUCUGUUAGAUGCUUUAAGGUCAUAAAAUUUGCUUCUGUCAUAUUUUUGAUACUUGCUUAAUUUGUCUGUGGACUUAUGUCUUUGGCUUUGAUCCUUUACAUUCUAGGGUCAAGACAAGUGGACAUGAUGUGGCCUGGAGACAUCUGUGUGUCUGCAGUGCCCGAGCCCCGUCCUCCCUGGCCCAGCUGUGCCCCCCGGCCAUGCUGUGUGUCUGCAGUGCCCGAGCCCCGUCCUCCCUGGCCCAGCUGUGCCCCCCAGCCAUGCUGUGUGUCUGCAGUGCCCAAGCCCUGUCCUCCCUGGCCCAGCUGUGCCCCCUGCAGUGCCCCAGCCCCAUCCUCCCUGGCCCAGCUGUGCCCCCCGGCCAUGCUGGGAGGGGUUGAGUCCUCCAGGCAUUGUCUUUGUAUUAGUCCGUUCUCACACUGCUAAUAAAGACAUACCUGAGACUGGGUAAUUUGUAAAGGAAAGAGGUUUAAUUGACUCACAGUUUAGCAUGGCUGGGAAGCCUCAGGAAACUUACAAUCAUGGCAGAAGGGGAAGCAAACGCGUUCUUCACAUGAGGUCAGGAAGGAGAUGUGCAGAGCGAAGCGGGGAAGGCCCCUCACGAAACCAUGAGACCUCGUGAGAACUCACUCACUAGCACAAGAACAAGAUGGGGGAACCGCCCCUUCAUCUAAUCACCUCCCACUGGGUCCCUCCCACAACACCUGGGGAUUUGGGGAACUGCAGUUCAAGAUGAGAUUUGGGUGGGGACACAGCCAAACCAUGUCAGUCUUUAAAGCUCUGUCCUUUGUCCUGGGCUUUGCAUCUUUAAUAACAAUUAAAAUUGCUUACUUCCUAUGUUUUUCACUGAAAAUUAGGCUUCCUAAGAGUUAACAUUGUAAUUAAUAUAUGUAUUUAAAACUACUAGAUAUAAGAGAAACACUUCUAUAUGCAAAGUUUAUAAGGAAAGUAGGAUGUGUUUUUGGUAAGGAAGGUUAUAAAGAAGACAUGAGAAUGAGGUUUUUGUUAAAGGAAAAGUAAUUUUGUCUAGUUUUGAUGUUUUUAAAGGUUGUUUUAAAUUGAAGGAAUAAAAAGAAUGAUAGAUAAAACUGAAUAUAUAUAUAAAGUUUGAGACACAAAGAAUGGAACAAAUUUUAAGAGGUUAUUAAAGGUUUAUGGAACUCUUAUAUGGUCAAAGCUGAUUGAGAUUGAAUGGAUCUGUUUUUAAGUUUUUAUUAAAAUUAGCUUUAGUAUUAAUAAUAUGCUAAUGUAAAGGUAGAAUUUGGUUUUCAUUUUUGAAUAAGAUUUUCAUGUAGUAUUAAUAAGAGAUAGUAAAAGAUUUUUGUUUACCUUUUGAGUAAACUGCAAAAAAAGGAGGAGUAGGCCGGGUGCGGUGGUUCACGCCUGUAAUCCCAGCACUUUGGGAGGCCGAGGUGGGUGGAUCACCUGAGGUCAGGAGUUUGAGACGAGCCUGGCCAACAUGGUGAAACCCCGUCUCUACUAAAAAUACAAAAAUUAGCCGGGUGUGGUGGCGCGUGCCUGUAGUCCCAGCUACUCAGGAGGCCGGGGCAGGAGAAUCACUUGAACCAGCGAGGCGGAGGUUGCAGUGAGCUGAGAUUGUGCCAUUGCACUCCAGCCUGGGCAACAAGAGUGAGACUCUGUCUCACACAAAAAAAGGAGGAGCAGAGAGUUUGCCUCAUGCUGUCUUCAUUUAUUUAUUUAUUAUUUUGGAGACAGGAUCUUGCUGUGUCACCCAGGCUCGUCUCGAACUCCUGAGCUCAAGCAGCCCUCCUGCCUUGGUCUCCCAAAGUACAGGGAUUACAAGUAUGAGCCAGCACGCCUGGCCCAAAAUUAUAAUUAUUACGUUAAAUUGUUGUAUGUCACACAAAAAAACAAAUCUCCUUGUGAAUUGCAUCUUUAACCAUCAUUAGUCGAAGUCAUCUGUCAUCCACAGUCAAUUACUGUUUUACUUUGAUUCUUUUUAAAAAUCAGCUUAUAAUUAGCUACAGUUCAAGACUCGCUUCUUCCUCAAGGAAACUCAUGUAAAGUACCCUGACAAGUACUUUUUUGUUUUGUUUUGUUUUGUUUUGUUUUGUUUUUUUUUAGAUGGAUCUUGCUGCGUCGCCCAGGCUGGAGUGUGGUGGCGCGGUCUCGGCUCACUGCAAGCUCCGUCUCCCGGGUUCAUGCCAUUCUCCUGCCUCAGCCUCCUGAGUAGCUGGGACUAUAGGCGCCCGCCAACACGCCCGGCUAAUUUUUGUAUUUUUAGUAGAGACGGGGUUUCACUAUGUUGGCCAGGCUGGUCUCGAACUCCUGACCUCGUGAUCCGCCUGCCUGGGCCUCCCAAAGUGUUGGGAUUACAGGUGUGAGCCACUGUGCCUGGCCUGUUGAUUCUUUUUAUGUUUUGCUUUCCAGAGUCAAGAAAACGUUUUUUCUCUUAAGCUGUUAUAGCUUAUAGCAAUUGAGUAAAGUAUACUUUUGUGAGCAAAAUGGAAACAUUUACCUUUCCCUUUACCUGAUUUCUCCAAAUUCAGAAACUAUUUGUGAGUUUUUCUAUUUUGUGGCAAUAUAGUUAUUUUCAUAAGUUCAAAAAGAAUCUGUUUUCUGGCUGGAUGUGGGGGUUCAUGCCUGUAAUACUAGCACUUUGGGAGGCUGAGGUGAGAGGAUUGCUUGAGCAUGGGAGUUCAAGACCAGCCUGGGCAACAUAGUGAGACCCCCAUCUAUAUUUUUUAAAAUGAAAGAAGAAAUCCAUAUUCUUCUUUAACAGGACACAAUUGGAGACACUGGUUAUUUUACAAAUGCUUUGACUGGAUGUGAUUAGACUGCUUUGAAGAAUUGAGGUUGAUUUAUAGAGCCAAUAAAACGCCCCUUGGAAAGGCUGGCCUGGUACCUUGUAUACACGGUUCCCUUACAAGGUUCCUGCCCUUGCAGUAAGUAAAAAAUGUCACUUUAUGACAGGCCUAGGAACCACAAGAUAUGCUGGAACCUGAAGGAGGAAUUCACCCAAUUCAUACUGGUACUCAGGGAUAGUCUGAUGGCAAAUAUUUGGGUUGCCUUCCUAGACUCAA